rnacentral:lncRNA from 1 species
ACAAGUUGACUUGACCAGCUGUGCAACAGUCAAACAAGAACAUGCAAACCGAUCACUAGUAACUUAAACCAAACCGGAGAAGCCACAAUGUGUACCUCAACGCUUAACCCAAAUUUCCCAGAAUAAAUCAAGGUACUUUAGGCCAAUCGAGUAAGUACUCAUAUCCUAUUAGGUACAACCCGAGGCUUUGCAACCCGACCGAGUAAUACCCAAUAGUUGGUUCGUCCGGAAAAUGACUAAUAUCAUAUGGAACCCUACUUUAAAACAUUUUUAUACAUUAUAUAUAUAUUUUAAGAGUAUUUUACAAAAUUUUUAUAAAUUAACCUUGAGGUUUUCGGUUAACAAACUUUACACAAAGAUAUAUCAAACGGAUUUGCAAGGAUAAUAAAACUACAACUGGUUAAUGAUGUUCCUUCCCAUCCUAGAGUAAGGUAUCCCACCUACUGGUUACCUGCACCACAAAUGAGUCACGAGUAACUAGUUUACUCAGUGAGUCUAAGGCCACACCCCAACAAAAUAUCAAUAGCAUCCCGAGCAAUCAACUCCAUUUGUAUGCACUGGAAACAUAUUCCAUAACUAAUAUUUAUAUAUAAGGCCUAUCCUUCCAUCAUUGUGAAUCUAAUCUUAUACCUCGCUU